ACUACAAAAAAGGCUCGCAAGUUCCAAAUUCAGACGUAAUGAUUUCAGGAGGAGCUCUGUAAUUCAUGGCGUGCUGUGGGGGCACUACUGUUUGUUUUCCUUAAACUUCUUCUUCUUCUUCAACUUUUAAACCCCUUCUUUUCCUUUUUUCUAUCUGGAGGGAGCAUCGUUUCCAGUUCUCUGGUUUCCCAGCGAAGAGAAAUCCCCAAAUUUUCCAGUUUUUUUUUCUUUUUUUGUGUUCAAUCUGAGGAAAAACGAUGUGUGGAGGUGCUAUCAUUUCUGAUUUUAUACCGCCGACUCGGUCUGAUCGGGUCACAGCCGAUCACCUAUGGCCGGAUUUGAAGAAACCUAAAUCAGGGAAACAUUCGUCAGUAAAAAAGUCCCUCAGGUCGCAGAUCUUCGAUGUUGAUGAUUUUGAGGCUGAUUUCCAGGACUUCAAGGACGAUUCUGACGCUGAUUUUGAUGAAGAUCACUUCUCGGAUGUUAAACCGUUCCUUUUCUCUGCUCCUAACUCCGCCUGCUCUUCCACUCGCGGAUCAAGCGCCACAAAACUUGUGGAGUUCAAUGGACAAACUGACGAGUCUGGAAGUACUAAGAGGAAGAAUAAAUUUAGGGGAAUAAGGCAACGCCCAUGGGGUAAGUGGGCUGCUGAGAUCCGAGACCCAACGAAAGGGGCCCGUGUAUGGAUUGGUACUUUCAACACUGCAGAAGAAGCUGCAAGAGCAUAUGAUGCAGAGGCGCUGAGAAUUCGAGGCAAGAAAGCCAAGUUGAAUUUCCCUGAUGAACCUUUGCAUGAUACCCAGAAGCGGAAAAACUCACAGAAUGUGAAACAUCUCAAUAUGAACUUGAAAGCAAACCAGGCCAGCACAAAUCAACACCUUAAGUUUUCUAAUCAUCCAGAUCAGAACUACUACAGAACCACUGGUUUUCUGGAAGCAAAACCUCCUACUGACCAACUUGGAUACAUGGACUCAUUCCCUGCUGGUAUGGAUAGUACUCCAUCUGACGAAAUGCUCCUAUAUUUUAACUCCGAUGAGGGAAGCAACUCGAUUGGCGGUUCUGAUUUUGGAUGGAGAGAUCAAGGUGUCAAGACUCCAGAAAUCUCUUCCGUCUUCUCAGCUACUUUUGAAAGUAUCGACUCUCAGUUUACAGAGGACAUGAAUCCAAGGAAGAAACUGAGGUGUAGUUCAGGGGAUACCAUAACUGCUGAAGAAGUAGGUGCUAAGACACUGUCAGAGGAGCUUUCUUCCUUCGAGUCCCAGAUGAAGUGUUUUCAGAUGCCGUAUCUGGAAGGGGACUGGGAUGAUUCAAUAGAUGCCUUCCUUGGAGGGGUUGCGACUCAAGAUGGUGGAAACCCAGUGGACCUUUGGAGUUUUAAUGACCUCCCUUCUGUGGUUGGAGGAAUCUUUUAAGCGAAGUUUUCCUUUGCCGGCUGGUUCAUUUAAAUAAAGCUACAUGUUAGUCAUUUCGAUUCUUCAAUCAUAUCUAAGAAGUGGAUGUCAUCGAUGAUUGGGACGAAGUUCAAAUGGUCAAUUGUGUUCGAGGCAAUUAAGGUCAUGUUUAUGCUGUAGCUAAUGGACUAGGAUUAUCUAGUUUAUUCAGGUAGCAAUACCUGAAAACCUUGAACUGGCGAUAGCCUGUCGAGUUAAGUCUGUAUGAACAAUAUCUAUCGAGUUAAGUCUGUAUGAACAAUAUGUUUAUCUGUAUUUAUGUAGCAUAAAACAUGGUAGAUGUCUUUGCCAUUGAGGAUUUUUACAUCAUGGAAUGUCUAGAUUCUGACUUGUAUGAAUUAAAGUCAUCGCUAAUUUUUCUCUUUUC